UCGACAGCGACCCCAGG
rnacentral:rRNA from 1 species